AUACGUACGCUGACGUAGUUGAUCACGUGGUUUUUGGCGUAGAUCCCCCUGCGAACGCCGAUUUUUUCCGGCUGUUGUCUGGCGGAUUCGGUCGAAUCUGUAGAAUAAAUCGUCGUAUUCGGUUGUUAUCGUGUUGUAAGACCCGUUUUGGACCCCGUUUAACGGUGCUCGGCAUUACAGCGCAUCAUACGCGGUAGACAGAUUGGGUGAUCUGGGAUGAAGUCUCAUGAAUUCCCUCAUUGGAGCUGACAUUAACAGUCAGCAGGAACAAGUGCAUAUUCUUCACAAGACAGAAACAUCCCAUCGUUUCCCCUCUACAACGUCCGUCUAACAGUCCCAGGGGACGUACGCACGCCAUGGCCAGCCGGAGGAAGACCACGACCCCUUGUAGAGCUGAUGCUGUUUUUCGAGGUGAUGACAUGAUGGGGCAAGAGGAUCCAGGUGAGAUGGAGGUGGAGGUAUCGGCGAAUGACAAAAGCACAGUGGUGAAUGGAUCCACAGAGAUGCUUCCUGGAGAGGACUGGAGCUCCGGGACAGAGCCUAGUGGUUCACGUCAGGAGUCGCUGGCCCCUCAGAAACCUAAUGCGGUGGAUUCAAGGCCUCAGAGGAAGCAGCAGGGAGGCUAUGAAUGCAAGUACUGUCCGUUCUCUACCCAGAACCUGAAUGAGUUCAAGGAACACGUGGACUCCAAUCACCCCAAUGUCAUUCUCAACCCGCUCUACCUGUGUGCUGUGUGCAACUUCAACACAAAGAAGUUUGACACCUUGACAGAGCACAACGAGAGGUGUCAUCCGGGGGAGAGCAACUUCAAGUUCAAGAGAAUCAAGCUGAACAAUCAGACCAUCCUAGAGCAGUCGAUAGAAGGAGCGAGCAACGCUGUGGUCUGUGAUUCAACCAACGGCAUUCAGACAGGAGAAGACUUCGCCACUUUCCCCCUGAGCAAAUCCACCACAGUGAAGAUUAGUAAGCCAAAAACAGACAACAAACGGUUAUUCACAGAAAGUCAACCGGACAGACUCGACCACGAGCUCCCCAGAAAGCAGAUCGCCGCCGUGAAUGUGACCGGGACCGUGAUCAUCCCAGAAGCGUCCCUAAAAGAUGGCGUCUCUCAUAUCAUGCCUUCUCUUCAGCGCCCGCCUAACUACAACUUAGUACCAAAAAUCGCUGUCCCUUUGAACACCUCCAAGUACAACCCUUCACUGGACAGUAACAUGACACUCAUCACAUCCUUCACCAAGUUCCCGUACCCGACCCAGGCGGAGCUGUCCUGGCUUACCGUUGCCUCCAAGCACCCCGAGGAACAGAUCAAGGUGUGGUUCACCCUCCAGAGACUGAAGCAAGGCAUCAGCUGGUCCCCUGAAGAGGUGGAAGAAGCUCGGAAGAAGAUGUUCAACGGCACCAUCCAGUCGGUCCCACAGACCACCUUCACCGUGCUGAGCGGCGCCCAGAUGGCUCAGUCCACCAAAGGACAACAGUCUCUAGUUCAAUCCGUCCCCUUCAACCUCCUGGGACAGACCAGUUAUGUGUUGACGCCGGUUGCGAACGGCUCAGCUGUCAGUUGUUCUCCCAUCACACUAACCAUGGCAAACCAGGUCGUGCAGUCAGUCAAGCGACCCUUGGUAGCUCCAGUAGUGGCCGCUUCAGAGAUCAAACGUCCCUCCAUAAUCCAGACGAUUCAGGCACCUACAUCUAGACUGGUGGCUUCGCCUAAACCUAGCUUCACUUCAGACGCUAAUAAAACCCCGGACCAGAUUGCUGUACUGAAAGCGAGUUACACCCAGUGCCAGUUCCCUGAAGAGGAGGAAGUGUACCGCCUCAUUGAGUCCACCGGCCUCUCUAGAGGAGAAAUCAAGAAGUGGUUCAGUGAGCAACGACUCCUCAAUCACAAGGUGGCGCCACAGGUGAUCAAGAUUGAGCCCCAGGCAUUGAAAGACAGUCAGCCCAAAAAGGCUGUGCCCACCCAGUUUCCUCUCCUGGAGAGGCUCAAAGGCAAAUCCUCUGAGCAGCUCAAGAUGCUAGAGGAGAGUUUUCAGAGGACCAGCUCCCCCACUGAAAUUGACAUUGACAACCUCGUUGUGGACACAAGGCUCUCCAAGACUGAGAUCGACUGCUGGUUCUCAGAGCGCAGAGCACUGCGGGACAACUUGGAGCAAGCCCUGGCAAACUCCAUGUGUCCGAAGAGCCUUGAGGAGCAACGAGGGAUACUGAACAGUGUUUACGAACAGGACAGCAAAGUCCGGUGCUCACCUCUUCCCAUCGUCACCACUUCCACCAGUCCUGAGCCCAUCGACAGGAAAUCCCUAGGGCUUCUCAAAGAGGUGUUCACCCAGACCCAGUGGCCGUCGCCAGAAGAGUACAGCCAGCUGGAGGGACAGACAGGUUUGUCUCGCACAGAGAUUGUCCGCUGGUUCAAGGAAAACCGAUCCGCCCUGAAGAACGGAACCUUGGACUGGAUGGAACAGUUCCAGAAAGUCAACGGCAAAGCAGGACAGAACGGUCAGAGCUCGUCAGGCAUCACCGAACGACCCCCAAGCAGCAUUCUCCAGCAGCACUUCACGGAAGCCAAGACCACGCUGCUUUCAGCAGAGGACGCAGAGAAGCUUCCUUUGCAGUCGAAACUCAUCAACCAGGACAUAGUCCAGUGGUUUACCAGUAAGCUGGGCCAGAGUAUGACAGACAUCAGCAGGGGCAGGGACCAACAUGGACAGGCCAACGUGGACAGAAGCAGAUGGGUGAAGGUGACCAUGGCUGUAGGGGACGAGACUAAAGGUGCUUUGGAGAACCAGAAGAUCGGCUCGGAAGCAGAGGUGCUGAUGGGAGACCAACCUGGUCGGGUGACUGGAUGAGAAGAGCAUGAGCGAUGGCUAGCAACAAUCUAGCAGCUGUGGCUUUGAACCACGCGGGAUGCCUGUAAUUUAGCCUUCAGAAAAACAUCUUGGCAGGAAGAGGCUAUUGAGAUUAUACACAUGUGGUUAUCACUGGGGAUUUUCCCCCCCUGGUGAACAGAAAAGCACCUCUGAUAGCCUGCUGUAUGGAGGAUACUGAGUUUCUCAGGCAGAAGAUUCUCAAGAUUGUUGAAUUCUGGAACCAAUGAUUUCCUACCUGGCCUGUGACAUCAGCACAGUGGACAGUAGAGUCCACGCCAAACACCGACUGGCAAAGACCAUUGAGUGCCAAAGCUGGACUUGAUGCAUUAUUAUUAUUAUUAUUAUUAUUAUUAUUAUUAUCAUUACACUUAAUAAAUAAAAAAAGGGCCCUUGUAAAUAUUUUUCUGUAUUGCAAAAGCUUUGUAAACAUUUUGGGGGUUGCUGGUUUUUACAUUUCUAACAGGAGUCAAUAACCCCUAAAAGAGGAAUGUUUUGGUUUUUAAUGACUGUGAUGGAAAUUGUAAACCAAUUCAUCAGUUGGUAAUUCUUUUCUUUUUAACAAAACAUUUAGUGACCGACAGCUGGUCAUAGAUGGCACUUAUUUCAAGUGGAUAGACUAGUAACACUUCUGAUCUGAUAACCAGUGUGUUCAUCCAUUUGGACUAAAGGGACUAGUGGUUCUCUACCAGACCAUAGAAUCACCUAGCCUGGGUUCCAGGAGUGGAAUGAUGGCACAAAACAGGUCUGCUACCCAGGCUAAGAAUCACAUACUUACAUUACAAUAACAGUUCUCCCUUCAGCAUUCAUGCUGAAUGCUCCUGCUGCCUGAGACGACAGUCAGCCACAGAAUGGACAUUAAUACAUUUUUUAAAAACAAGAAAAUGCACUGUACAUGUUUUUUGUAGUUCAGUCUCAUUUUUGAAUUGCAGCGUCCGUUGCAUCAGUGACUGGUCUUUUCUCGUGUUGGCUUUCUAGAUAUCCAUAGAUAUCCUAGGUGUAGUUAGGCUCCAUUUUUCAAUGGCUCGCUCCUUCAGUUUCAUGCUGCUUCUAUUAGUGAAUCAUGUUCACACAUGUAUCUGGAAUACUGUACUGCUACCAAGAAUCUCUUUACUUCCUGGUUUGUUUUUUAUUUAUCCGUCUGCUGUAACUCAAUAAAACACAACCAACUGAA